GAUACUGUCCUUCACCCAGUUCAAUGUAACAGUGAUGGGUUUAGGAUACUGUCCUUCAUAUUCACCCAGUUCAAUGUAACAGUGAUGGGUUUAGGAUACUGUCCUUCACCCAGUUCAAUGUAACAGUGAUGGGUUUAGGAUACUGUCAUUCAUAUUCACCCAGUUCAAUGUAACAGUGAUGGGUUUAGGAUACUGUCAUUCAUAUUCACCCAGUUCAAUGUAACAGUGAUGGGUUUAGGAUACUGUCCUUCAUAUUCACCCAGUUCAAUGUAACAGUGAUGGGUUUAGGAUACUGUCCUUCAUAUUCACCCAGUUCAAUGUAACAGUGAUGGGUUUAGGUUACUG
rnacentral:lncRNA from 1 species